CUUCAGUGACUUGGUGCCAUCCCCAGCCUGAGGCCGUCAGCACCUCAGUUGUUCAAUCUGGCUAGGCUGCAGUUCCCUGGCUGUCCUGCUGUUAUCUCCUGUUCCUGAGCUGUGUAAAAGGAAGAAUAUUUUGAAGACUUUGUUCUGUGUCUCAUAUCCCUGUAACAAAUAAUAACUAUUGGCAGUAGUAACAGGGAAGAGUAAGUGAAAGGGGAAAGGGAACUGCACUUCAUCCUGGCUUUCACCAAGACACCGCCUUGCUGAGGUCUGCAGGAAGCCUGUUGUCACAGUGAAUCCUGUCACAGUGCAUGGAAACGCUAUACAGAGAUAGGCAAAUGUAGUGUGUGAGACAGAUUCUACUCAGCCUACUUUACACAGGGCAGCUCUGGGGUGUUACAACAGACUUCCGCAGGCUAGACCUCAGGAGAUGGACUGUGCAAGAGCAUCAGACUCAGCAAGCCUCCACUCAAAGCCUCAUGGUUGACUGCAACUGGGAAAUGUGGUUCACUGGAAGAUACAGCACACCAGGCUGUCUGGCAGAGUUUGCAGAGAUUUCUCACCUUCUAACUAUCCAGGGGCCCAUUCACCUGAAAUUCCUGCAACCAGGACCAGCUCUACCUUACUGUCCAGGUGAGGUACAGAGCCUGGUCUCCUGAGUAUUGCAGCUGGUGAGAGACAUGGACAGUUCUCCAAGUCUUAUGAUCCUGGGUCCAGCUUUCCCACCUGCCAUAGGUCUCUCCCUCAUCCCAGCCACUGCACAACAGACAAGAGGUGAGGUGCAGGACCUGAAGGACAGUGAAAGGACAGCAUGAUUUCUGCCUGAAAAUCACCAGGAACCAAACAGGUUGGAGACCCCACAGGUUUCUCUGCAAGGACAGCAUACAUUUCGCUAUGCUCCCUGACUCCAGGCUUCUGACGAAAGGCCGAAGACCUCCAUAGAGUGGGGUCCUCCAGUCAUGUAGUACAACAUCCAUCAGCCCCUCCACAGGUAGAGGGCGUGACUACAGGCAGUGGAGCCUCAAGACAGACCUCCAUAUUCAUGUGAUACCUAAAGGCCAGAGGAUGUAGCCAAUUAAGCAUUCCUUCCCAGACAAUCUUCCUUGCAAAAGGUAUUUAACCUCAGGCCUGCCCUGAAAAUACCGGGGUAUAGUUUCAUCCAUUUUCCACCAUGACAAUAAAUAUCUUAAGACCAUAGCUUACUUCUCUUCUUUGGGUCCUUGCUGUGGUGAACCGUGGAGAAGGUUAUUAACUACCAAGCUGCCAUCUAAUCUCUCGAAGAUGAUCUAUGUUCUCAGACAUGGAGACCCAGCAACCUAAGCAAGCCGAGCCAACUAUGACCAAGCCAAGUGAGUCGCUGCGACCAGAACU